rnacentral:lncRNA from 1 species
UUUACUAAUCUGAAGUCUCUACAACAAAUUGCAUAUAUGAAUCAGACUCUCGAUAUCCAAUAUCCAGAUAGUAGUAUCAUAGACAGAGAAAUUAUAAGAUGUUAUCAUAUAAGUACCUUGUCUAGCAAUCAUUUGUCGAUUUCUCUUCCUUAGCCAACUAGGAUCAAAGAAAACUAGAUACAGAGAACAAUUCUUCUUCCAGUGUUCCAAUUUCUUGCAAAA